rnacentral:tRNA from 1 species
UCGCGUGGGUUCCUAUUGGUAGGGAAGCCGGACUGUUAAUCUGGUAGCUGCAGUUUCGAAUACUGCCGCGCGAGCCA